CAAGCGAACAAGUGCAUGUGGUGGAUGCCUUGGCGAUCACAGGCGAUGAAGGACGCGGUAGCCUGCGAAAAGCUACGGGGAGCUGGCAAACGAGCUUUGAUCCGUAGAUGUCCGAAUGGGGAAACCCGGCCCUUUUGGGUCAUCCUAGACUGAAUACAUAGGUCUAGUGAAGCGAACGCGGUGAACUGAAACAUCUAAGUAACCGCAGGAAAAGAAAUCAACCGAGAUUCCCAAAGUAGUGGCGAGCGAAAUGGGAAGAGCCUGUACUCUUUAUUUGUAUUGUUAGCCGAACGCUCUGGAAAGUGCGGCCAUAGCAGGUGAUAGCCCUGUAGGCGAAAACAGUAUGAAAGAACUAGGUGUACGACAAGUAGGGCGGGACACGUGAAAUCCUGUCUGAAGAUGGGGGGACCAUCCUCCAAGGCUAAAUACUCGUGAUCGACCGAUAGUGAACCAGUACCGUGAGGGAAAGGCGAAAAGAACCCCGGGAGGGGAGUGAAAUAGAUCCUGAAACCGCAUGCAUACAAACAGUCGGAGCCUCGCAAGGGGUGACGGCGUACCUUUUGUAUAAUGGGUCAGCGACUUACGUUCAGUAGCAAGCUUAACCGAAUAGGGCAGGCGUAGCGAAAGCGAGUCCGAAUAGGGCGUUCAGUUGCUGGGCGUAGACCCGAAACCAGGUGAUCUAUCCAUGGCCAGGAUGAAGGUGCGGUAACACGUACUGGAGGUCCGAACCCACUAACGUUGAAAAGUUAGGGGAUGAGCUGUGGAUAGGGGUGAAAGGCUAAACAAACCUGGAAAUAGCUGGUUCUCUCCGAAAACUAUUUAGGUAGUGCCUCGUGUCUCACCUUCGGGGGUAGAGCACUGUCAUGGUUGGGGGGUCUAUUGCAGAUUACCCCGCCAUAGCAAACUCCGAAUACCGAAGAGUGCAAUCACGGGAGACAGACAUCGGGUGCUAACGUCCGGUGUCAAGAGGGAAACAACCCAGACCGCCAGCUAAGGUCCCCAAAUAUGGCUAAGUGGGAAACGAAGUGGGAAGGCUAAAACAGUCAGGAGGUUGGCUUAGAAGCAGCCACCCUUUAAAGAAAGCGUAAUAGCUCACUGAUCGAGUCGUCCUGCGCGGAAGAUGUAACGGGGCUAAGCCAUAUACCGAAGCUGCGGAUGCGAGCUAGUCUCGCAUGGUAGGAGAGCGUUCCGUAAGCCUGCGAAGGUGCGUUGAAAAGCGUGCUGGAGGUAUCGGAAGUGCGAAUGCUGACAUGAGUAGCGAUAAAGGGGGUGAAAGGCCCCCUCGCCGUAAGCCCAAGGUUUCCUACGCAACGUUCAUCGGCGUAGGGUGAGUCGGCCCCUAAGGCGAGGCAGAAAUGCGUAGCUGAUGGGAAGCAGGUCAAUAUUCCUGCACCAUUGUUAGAUGCGAUGGGGGGACGGAUCGCGGAAGGUUGUCCGGGUGUUGGAAGUCCCGGUCGCUGCAUUGGAGAAGGCGCUUAGGCAAAUCCGGGCGCAGGAUUCAAGGGUGUGGCGCGAGCGCUCUAGGGCGCGAAGCAAUUGGAAGUGGUUCCAAGAAAAGCCUCUAAGCUUCAGUCUAACGAUGACCGUACCGCAAACCGACACAGGUGGGCGAGAUGAGUAUUCUAAGGCGCUUGAGAGAACUCGGGAGAAGGAACUCGGCAAAUUGGUACCGUAACUUCGGGAUAAGGUACGCCCUGGUAGCUUGACUGGCCUGCGCCAGAAGGGUGAAGGGGUUGCAAUAAACUGGUGGCUGCGACUGUUUAAUAAAAACACAGCACUCUGCAAACACGAAAGUGGACGUAUAGGGUGUGACGCCUGCCCGGUGCCGGAAGAUUAAAUGAUGGGGUGCAAGCUCUUGAUUGAAGUCCCGGUAAACGGCGGCCGUAACUAUAACGGUCCUAAGGUAGCGAAAUUCCUUGUCGGGUAAGUUCCGACCUGCACGAAUGGCGUAACGAUGGCCACACUGUCUCCUCCCGAGACUCAGCGAAGUUGAAGUGUUUGUGAUGAUGCAAUCUACCCGCGGCUAGACGGAAAGACCCCAUGAACCUUUACUGUAGCUUUGCAUUGGACUUUGAACCGAUCUGUGUAGGAUAGGUGGGAGGCUAUGAAACCGGAACGCUAGUUUCGGUGGAGCCGUCCUUGAAAUACCACCCUGGUUUGUUUGAGGUUCUAACCUUGGCCCGUGAUCCGGGUCGGGGACAGUGCAUGGUAGGCAGUUUGACUGGGGCGGUCUCCUCCCAAAGCGUAACGGAGGAGUACGAAGGUACGCUAGGUACGGUCGGAAAUCGUGCUGAUAGUGCAAUGGCAUAAGCGUGCUUAACUGCGAGACCGACAAGUCGAGCAGGUGCGAAAGCAGGUCAUAGUGAUCCGGUGGUUCUGUAUGGAAGGGCCAUCGCUCAACGGAUAAAAGGUACUCUGGGGAUAACAGGCUGAUACCGCCCAAGAGUUCAUAUCGACGGCGGUGUUUGGCACCUCGAUGUCGGCUCAUCUCAUCCUGGGGCUGUAGCCGGUCCCAAGGGUAUGGCUGUUCGCCAUUUAAAGAGGUACGUGAGCUGGGUUUAAAACGUCGUGAGACAGUUUGGUCCCUAUCUGCCGUGGGCGUUGGAAGUUUGAAGGGGGCUGCUCCUAGUACGAGAGGACCGGAGUGGACGAACCUCUGGUGUACCGGUUGUGACGCCAGUCGCAUCGCCGGGUAGCUAUGUUCGGAAGAGAUAACCGCUGAAAGCAUCUAAGCGGGAAACUCGCCUUAAGAUGAGACUUCCCCGGGGACUUGAUCCCCUUGAAGGGUCGUUCGAGACCAGGACGUUGAUAGGUCGGGUGUGUAAGCGCAGUAAUGCGUUCAGCUAACCGAUACUAAUUGCCCGUACGGCUUGAUCC
rnacentral:rRNA from 2 species